rnacentral:lncRNA from 1 species
GGGCUCUUGACGUAGACACGUGCUCCGCACCGUGGAAGCCUUUCCAGGGGUCCGGCAUAUAGCGACGGAACCCUAUUCCUUGUUUGAAGGGCGUUGCAGGGAGUGACUGACGUAAUCAGGCAUGUCUCACCAGUACUCCCCCCUGAAGAGAGUAUGGUUGAACACCCGUGUACCGUCAGUAUCCCCCCCCCAAGCAAGGUGAUCCGCAUCAAGGCCAAAGCGACAAGAUGGGAUCGAAUCAAUGUGGCCACAGCGACACAAUGACUCCGUUACCCAUGCACUAUUAGAUGGGUUGAUUCACUAUCAGAAUCUAGUUCCAGGCCAAUAGAACUACGUGUUUAUAGUCCAACUCUGAUCAGGAACGACUCUUUCUGUGUUAUCAUCAAGGCCGAAGCGACAAGAUGAAGGGAGAUUAUUAAGGCCCAAAGCGACAAAAUA